GGUUUAUUAGCUCAGAUGGCAGAGCACUUGACUUUUAAUCAAGGUGUCCGGGGUUCGAUUCCCCGAUAAGCCACCA
rnacentral:tRNA from 1 species